rnacentral:rRNA from 1 species
UACGGAGGGAGCUAGCGUUAUUCGGAAUUACUGGGCGUAAAGCGCACGUAGGCGGCUUUGUAAGUAAGAGGUGAAAGCCUGGAGCUCAACUCCAGAACUGCCUUUUAGACUGCAUCGCUUGAAUCCAGGAGAGGUGAGUGGAAUUCCGAGUGUAGAGGUGAAAUUCGUAGAUAUUCGGAAGAACACUAGUGGCGAAGGCGACUUACUGGACACAUAUUGACGCUGAGGUGCGAAAAGCGUGGGGAGCAAACAGGG